GGCGAAAUGGCCGAGUGGUCUAAGGCGUCAGACUCAAGUUUGUAUAAACUUAUACACAAUGUGUAAAGGCGAGUUUUCUGAUCUCGUUAUCGAGGCGUGGGUUCGAAUCCCACUUUCGUCA
rnacentral:tRNA from 1 species